rnacentral:misc_RNA from 1 species
GGUGCAGAAGUCAAAGAAUCGUACACAUGCAAACCAUCAGUCUGUCAUUAAAUAGUGCACUGAAAUUAUCAUUCUCAAACUUAAACCAAUCGGAUUCGCCAUCAGGAAGAAGAUGAAGAGCAAAGGUAGAUUAGUGGGACAAAGAUGGCGGAGCAUAGGGGGCUUACCUUCAAUAUUUCUGCUAUGUCUUUUCUUGUUCUUCGCCGGUUUAUUCGGUUCUACUCUCGUUUCUCAUCAGGAUGUACAACUACUUACUGUACGGCCUAGGUCAAGGGUGCUUAAAUCUGUGGAAGAAUUUGAUGUUUUGCCUAAUGGCGACACUGGAGAACACUCCCUUACUUCCAUCCCCUUCCAGGUCUUAAGCUGGUUCCCACGUGCAUUAUACUUUCCCAAUUUCGCAACUACAGAACAAUGCCAAGGCAUAAUUAAGAUGGCAAAGGCAGAACUGAAACCAUCAUCUUUGGCUCUCCGCAAAGGAGAAACAGCAGAAAAUACCAAAGGAGUUAGAACAAGUUCUGGUAUGUUUAUCAGUGCAUCUGAAGACAAAACUGGAAUUCUGGACCUCAUUGAGGAGAAAAUCGCAAAGGCGACUAUGAUCCCCAGGACACACGGAGAGGCAUUUAAUGUUUUGCGGUACGAAAUAGGCCAGAGUUAUUAUUCACAUUAUGAUGCGUUUGAUCCUUCUCAAUAUGGUCCUCAGA